AGAGUUUGAUCAUGGCUCAGAACGAACGCUGGCGGCAGGCCUAACACAUGCAAGUCGAGCGCUGUAGCAAUACAGAGCGGCGCACGGGUGAGUAACACGUGGGAACGUGCCCUUUGGUUCGGAAUAACUCAGGGAAACUUGAGCUAAUACCGGAUAAGCCCUCCGGGGGAAAGAUUUAUCGCCAUUGGAGCGGCCCGCGUUGGAUUAGCUAGUUGGCGGGGUAAAAGCCUACCAAGGCAACGAUCCAUAGCUGGUUUGAGAGAACGACCAGCCACACUGGGACUGAGACACGGCCCAGACUCCUACGGGAGGCAGCAGUGGGGAAUCUUGGACAAUGGGGGCAACCCUGAUCCAGCCAUGCCGCGUGAGUGAUGAAGGCCCUAGGGUUGUAAAACUCUUUCGCGCACGACGAUAAUGACGGUAGUGCGAGAAGAAGCUCCGGCUAACUUCGUGCCAGCAGCCGCGGUAAUACGAAGGGGGCUAGCGUUGUUCGGAUUUACUGGGCGUAAAGCGCGCGCAGGCGGUCCUUCAAGUCAGGGGUGAAAGCCCAGAGCUCAACUCUGGAACUGCCUUUGAGACUGUAGGACUUGGGUAUGGGAGAGGUGAGUGGAAUUCCGAGUGUAGAGGUGAAAUUCGUAGAUAUUCGGAAGAACACCAGUGGCGAAGGCGGCUCACUGGCCCAUUACCGACGCUCAGGCGCGAUAGCGUGGGGAGCAAACAGGAUUAGAUACCCUAGUAGUCC
rnacentral:rRNA from 1 species